ACAAUGGAUCUCUUGGUUCUCGCAUCGAUGAAGAACGCAGCGAAUUGCGAUAUGUAAUGUGAAUUGCAGAAUUCAGUGAAUCAUCGAAUCUUUGAACGCACCUUGCGCCCUUUGGUAUUCCGAAGGGCAUGCCUGUUUGAGUGUCAUUAAAUUCUCAACUUCAACACUUUUUUGUAUUGAAGCUUGGAUGUUGGAGGGUCUUGCGGGCAUAUAUUAAUGUCAGCUCCUCUUAAAUGCAUUAGCAGAACCUGUGUUCGGCUCUGGUUUGAUAAUCCUAUCUAUGCCAUUGCUGAAAUGUCAUUGUUCAGCUUCUAAUGGUCCAUUGGACUGUCUCUUCAGAGGCAUAUAUUUUGACUUGACCUCAAAUCAGGUAGGACUACCCGCUGAACUUAAGCAUAUCAAUAAGCGGAG
rnacentral:rRNA from 1 species